AUAAACAGUUUACAGAUGCAUGUUUUAAUAUUCAGUACAGUAUAAACUCAGGGAGAUAAUAUUAUUAAGGUCAGAUUUUGUUUAAACAGUUUAACUGUUUGCAUAUUUCACCUUUUUAAUGGAGUUACAGUUAAUUUGCCUAAUAAACCUUUUUGUGUCCACUAGGCGGAGAAAAAUAAAGUAAAUUCAAGGCAUACAGAUAAGAGACAGAUAAGUCAAAUAACAAGUAAAUAGUUUAUUUUCAAAUAAAAUGUCAAGUCACCUGAACUCUGAUCCUCCUCUCUGGAAAUUAUUUUUAUUGUGGGACUUUGCUUAAUCUGUGCUUGGGAAACCAGCUCUCCUGGUGCAGUUAAGGUCAAGGCAUUUCAGGACAUUCAUUUGGAGACAAGCACACAUCAAGCACACACUUGUUUCUUUUGGUAAUGUUUGUAGGUUCUGCAGAAGGGUCUUCCUUUGGCCUGUGAAAGCUCUAGGUGUGUGGUUCUUUGUGCAGGGGCCACACUCCUGUUCCUGCUGAACUGAGCCAGUAAAUCUAUACAACUGAUAUCAGCUCAGAAGGCACCGGAGCUCAGGUCCUGAUCAGACACAGAUGAUCACUUUACUGUGAUUUCUUGAUCGUGCCAUUGAUUACAUGAUUACACUUUGAAUCUUGUUAAUUUGCAUCUGACGUGUGAUGUCAAAGAACUCCUGUCCUAUUAUCUGAGUGAGUGAAAUUACACGCUUUAGCUUUAAGAAUGAUCAUCUGCUUUGAAUGAAUCUUUUUCUCACACAAAGAUAGCUUGAGCCACAGUCACAUGGGAGCCGUGUUCUGUUUCAGCUUUGGCACAUUUCUCUGUUAUUAAGCAAGAUUUAUCAUUACCCAUGUGUGUUUAAUUAUGACAUUGAGCAUUUAUCAUCUUCAAUUUAAUAUGUUUGUUAGUCUUUAUGUUUGGCUGAUGCUAGUACCUUCCUUGUUAACAUUUUGAAAAGAUGGAAAAUAUCGAAAAGAGCAGCAUGAACAUCUUUCCACACAAAGAAAGAAAGUAAUACAGAUUUCAGGCAACACAACAGUGAAUAAGUGAUGACAGCAUUUUCAUAUUUCAUUAAAACUGGAACACUUCCCUUGUGGAAAAAAAAAAAGUAGUAUGCAUGAUCACUAGUAGAGUACUUCAAGUAUAUAUUUUAAAAAACUGUAAUUGCAGGUAAUAUAACAUUAAUGAACUAAUAGGCCUAUUAAGACUUUUAUGACAAUGUUCAGUACACUUAAAAACAAUUAUGACUACAAUAAUGUCAAAAUAAAAAAAAAUUAAAGAAUUAUAUUUAUUUUGAUGUGUUGACUAACACACUAAAGAACAUUACUUGAUUAUACAUUUAACUGUGUUAUUUGAUUUUACAUUUAAGGUUAAUAUAUUGUUAAUGUACUAAAUUGCAACUUCAUCAUUACAAAUGUGUAAUUAUGAAUAUAUUUAAAUACAUCUUUCUUUAGAAGUUCUAUUAAAGCAUAUAUGCUUGUCAGUACAUUCAGCAGUACAUUUCAAAGUAAUUAUGAAAUUACAUAAGUCCUACUUAAAGCACUCUAAAGUUCAGCUAAUUGCAUUUAAUAUACAUUUUAACUAUAAUACAUUUUUAUUUAAUUACAGUUAACAUGUGAUUAAGUGUCCAAUAUGAUUACAUUCAGUUUACACUUAAGUAUAUUCUUUUAAAGUGUGCUUCUUUUUCACAAGGGGUAUAUAUAUAUUCUAUAUUCCAACAGAAAAGAACUGCAUUUUCUUAGUUUCUUUUCAGGUGAAGAACUUAGCCACUGUGAACAAAAAACAAAGCGUGCAUGUUCACCAAUCAGCUAAGCUCUGCACCCGCUUAGAGCGACGUCACAACUGCAGUUUUGCUGUUCAAGUACAAACACCCCAAUGGAGUUCCCCCGACUCAUUCUGCCAUUUCCUCCAUUUGAUUUCCUCCAUUUUUUUGUCCAUUUCCUCAUGAACUGCUGGUAAG
ensembl:lncRNA